rnacentral:misc_RNA from 1 species
GAUGAAGAACGUAGCGAACGUGCGAAACGUAAUGUGAAUUGCAGAAUUCAGUGAAUCAUCGAAUCUUUGAACGCAUCUUGCGCUCCUUGGUAUUCCGAGGAGCAUGCCUGUUUGAGUGUCGUGAAUACUCUCAACUUCAACCCUUUUUUCGGAAAGGGAGGAAGGUUGGACUUGGGUGUUUGUUGAAGUGCGAGCUUCGACUCAUCCUAAAUGCAUUAGCGAUCUGCCUCGAUCACACACAAUGUGAUAAUUAAAACUAAAGCAUUGUGUAAUGAUCAAGUCGAGACUGCUUCUAACUGUCGCAAGACAAUAACGUGCAUACAUUUGUGCAUGUCAUUUGACCUCAAAUCAGGUAGGACUACCCGCUGAACUUAAGCAUAUCAAUAAGCGGAGGA